GACGAACGCUGGCGGCGUGCUUAACACAUGCAAGUCGAGCGGAAAGGCCACUUCGGUGGUACUCGAGCGGCGAACGGGUGAGUAACACGUGAGUAAUCUGCCCCUGGCUUUGGGAUAACCACCGGAAACGGUGAUUAAUACCGGAUACGACCACUUCUCGCAUGGGAUGGUGGUGGAAAGUCUUUUCGGCCAGGGAUGUGCUCGCGGCCUAUCAGCUUGAUGGUGAGGUAAUGGCUCACCAUGGCUUCGACGGGUAGCCGGCCUGAGAGGGUGACCGGUCACACUGGGACUGAGACACGGCCCAGACUCCUACGGGAGGCAGCAGUGGGGAAUAUUGGACAAUGGGCGGAAGCCUGAUCCAGCAACGCCGCGUGAGGGAUGACGGCCUUCGGGUUGUAAACCUCUUUCAGCAGGGACGAAGCGCAAGUGACGGUACCUGCAGAAGGAGCACCGGCCAACUACGUGCCAGCCGCCGCCGUAA
rnacentral:rRNA from 1 species